rnacentral:rRNA from 1 species
GUGAACGCUGGCGGUAGGCCUAACACAUGCAAGUCGAACGGCAGCACAGUAAGAGCUUGCUCUUACGGGUGGCGAGUGGCGGACGGGCGAGGAAUACAUCGGAAUCUACUUUUUCGUGGGGGAUAACGUAGGGAAACUUACGCUAAUACCGCAUACGACCUACGGGUGAAAGCAGGGGAUCUUCGGACCUUGCGCGAUUGAAUGAGCCGAUGUCGGAUUAGCUAGUUGGCGGGGUAAAGGCCCACCAAGGCGACGAUCCGUAGCUGGUCUGAGAGGAUGAUCAGCCACACUGGAACUGAGACACGGUCCAGACUCCUACGGGAGGCAGCAGUGGGGAAUAUUGGACAAUGGGCGCAAGCCUGAUCCAGCCAUACCGCGUGGGUGAAGAAGGCCUUCGGGUUGUAAAGCCCUUUUGUUGGGAAAGAAAAGCAGCAGGUUAAUACCCCGCUGUUCUGACGGUACCCAAAGAAUAAGCACCGGCUAACUUCGU